GAUGAACGCUGCCAGAAUGCUUAACGCAUGCAAGUCUUUGGCGAAGCUGUGCUUGCACAGCCUAGCCAAGGCGGACGGGUGAGUAACGCGUAAGGAACUUGCCCUGCAGUCAGGGAUAACAGACGGAAACGACUGAUAAGACCUGGUAAAGUCAGACGGACUCAUGUCCAGCCUGAUGAAAAGAGAUGCUGCAGGAGAGCCUUGCGUCCUAUUAGCUUGUUGGUGGGGUAACGGCCCACCAAGGCGAUGAUAGGUAGCCGGCCUGAGAGGGUGGACGGCCACAAGGGGACUGAGAUACGGCCCUUACUCCUACGGGAGGCAGCAGUGGGGAAUAUUGGACAAUGGGGGCAACCCUGAUCCAGCAAUUCUGUGUGCACGAUGAAGGUUUUCGGAUUGUAAAGUGCUUUCAGCAGGGAAGAAAAAAAUGACGGUACCUGCAGAAGAAGCGACGGCUAAAUACGUG
rnacentral:rRNA from 1 species